rnacentral:rRNA from 1 species
UACGUAGGGUGCGAGCGUUAAUCGGAAUUACUGGGCGUAAAGCGUGCGCAGGCGGUUUUGUAAGUCAGAUGUGAAAUCCCCGGGCUCAACCUGGGAACUGCGUUUGAAACUGCAAGGCUAGAGUAUGGGAGAGGGAGGUAGAAUUCCACGUGUAGCAGUGAAAUGCGUAGAGAUGUGGAGGAAUACCAAUGGCGAAGGCAGCCUCCUGGGCCAAUACUGACGCUCAUGCACGAAAGCGUGGGGAGCAAACAGG